rnacentral:misc_RNA from 1 species
UCUCCGUUGGUGAACCAGCGGAGGGAUCAUUACUGAGUGAGGGCUCACGCCCGACCUCCAACCCUUUGUGAACCCAUCUUGUUGCUUCGGGGGCGACCCUGCCGGCACUCUGUCGCCGGGCGCCCCCGAAGGUCUCCAAACACUGCAUCUUUGCGUCGGAGUUUAAAACAAAUUAAACAAAACUUUCAACAACGGAUCUCUUGGUUCUGGCAUCGAUGAAGAACGCAGC